rnacentral:rRNA from 1 species
UACGGGGGGAGCAAGCGUUGUUCAGAUUUACUGGGCGUAAAGGGCGCGUAGGCGGUCAGCACAAGUCAGUUGUGAAAUCUCCGGGCUUAACUCGGAAAGGUCAACUGAUACUGUGCGACUAGAGUGCAGAAGGGGCAACUGGAAUUCUCGGUGUAGCGGUGAAAUGCGUAGAUAUCGAGAGGAACACCUGCGGCGAAGGCGGGUUGCUGGGCUGACACUGACGCUGAUGCGCGAAAGCCAGGGGAGCGAACGGG